rnacentral:rRNA from 1 species
GAUGAACGCUGGCGGCGUGCCUAAUACAUGCAAGUCGAACGCUGAAGGAGGAGCUUGCUCUUCUGGAUGAGUUGCGAACGGGUGAGUAACGCGUAGGUAACCUGCCUGGUAGCGGGGGAUAACUAUUGGAAACGAUAGCUAAUACCGCAUGACAACAGUUAUUGCAUGAUAACUGUUUAAAAGGGGCAACUGCUCCACUACCAGAUGGACCUGCGUUGUAUUAGCUAGUUGGUGAGGUAACGGCUCACCAAGGCGACGAUACAUAGCCGACCUGAGAGGGUGAUCGGCCACACUGGGACUGAGACACGGCCCAGACUCCUACGGGAGGCAGCAGUAGGGAAUCUUCGGCAAUGGACGGAAGUCUGACCGAGCAACGCCGCGGGAGUGAAGAAGGUUGUCGGAUCGUAAAGCUCUGUUGUAAGAGAAGAACGAGUGUGAGAGUGGAAAGUUCACACUGUGACGGUAGCUUACCAGAAAGGGACGGCUAACUACGUG